rnacentral:rRNA from 1 species
AUUGAACGCUGGCGGCAUGCCUUACACAUGCAAGUCGAACGGCAGCACGGGUGCUUGCACCUGGUGGCGAGUGGCGAACGGGUGAGUAAUACAUCGGAACGUACCUUGUCGUGGGGGAUACCGCAGCGAAAGCUGUGCUAAUACCGCAUACGCCCUGAGGGGGAAAGCGGGGGAGCGCAAGCACUCGCGCGAUUAGAGCGGCCGAUGCCUGAUUAGCUAGUUGGUGGGGUAAAAGCCCACCAAGGCGACGAUCAGUAGCUGGUCUGAGAGGACGAUCAGCCACACUGGGGCUGAGACACGGCCCAGACUCCUACGGGAGGCAGCAGUGGGGAAUUUUGGACAAUGGGGGCAACCCUGAUCCAGCAAUGCCGCGUGAGUGAAGAAGGCCUUCGGGUUGUAAAGCUCUUUUGUCAGGGAAGAAACACCGGCUCUAACACAGUCCGGGAAUGACGGUACCUAAAGAAGAAGCACCGGCUAACUACGUGCCAGCCGCCGCGGUAA